GUGUGCUGUGAGAUAUUUUGAGAAGAAAACACUACAGGAAAUGCUCGUUUUUCCGGCGGCCUUUUACCCACGGCCUAGGAGCCCUUCGGUAAUGUCUUCUAAGAAUUUUAAGUUGUUCCCUCUCUGCAAUUCAUUUUCCCACCGGCCUUCCCCUGUGCUUCGUCCAAAACCCUUCCCUCCAACCCUAUUCUACGUCGCCCAAAACCCUUCCCUCCAACCCUUCCCUUGUGCUCCUCCAACGAUACGAAAGUCGUAAGCUUCCUCUCCUCUGCCCAAAUUGUCAGUAAUUCCUCCUCUCCUAUGCCCAAAUUUGAGAAAUUCCUCCAACGAUACCAAAGCCCUAGUCCGUUUUUGGUCACCGUAAGGCGUUCUUUCGCGGAGCUUAGGUCGUUGGUGGCAUGGUCUUUCCGGCAAGGUGGUGGGUCGUGGUAGUUGGCGUUUUGCGGUAGUGGUGGUGGGUCAUCGAGGUUGGCUUGACGCAACGUUGGGGUGAUGUGGGCUUGUUAAGUUCGUGGUCGGGAUUUGGAAUCUUGGCUCACCUGACCCUAAUUUUACAUUGGAUGCGCAUCAGAAAGGAGUAAAUUGUGUUGAUUAUUUUACAGGUGGUGACAAACCAUAUCUAAUCACUGGUUCUGAUGAUCACACUGCCAAGUUGAAACUUACGAAACAUGUAUGGGAUUAUCAGACCAAAGGUUGUGUCCAGACCCUAGAUGGUCACACACACAAUGUAUCUGCUGUAUGCUUCCAUCCUGAACUUCCUAUAAUCAUUACUGGUUCUGAAGAUGGUACAGUACGCAUAUGGCACUCCACAACUUAUAGGCUGGAAAACACAUUAAACUAUGGCCUUGAAAGAGUCUGGGCUAUUGGAUACUUGAAGGGUUCACGUCGGCAAUCAAAUUGAAUGAUGUUAAAUCAUGCAAGGGAACAACAUUCUGGAUGGCCCCAUAGGCUCAUACUGCAUUCCAUCUUGCUGAGCCAUGCUUUAGUGGCCUACUAGCUUCUCCAUAUGGCCUAUAACCUAAUAUUCAUCCUGCUCAGCUGAUAGGAAUGCCUACUGCUAGAAUUCCUCUGCCACUUGAUCUGAGUGAGGAGCCUAUAUUUGUGAAUGCAAAGCAGUACCAUGCUAUUCUGAGGCGCAGACAAUACCGGACAAAACUUGAAUCACAGAACAAACUCAUCAAAGAACGGAAACCAUAUCUUCAUGAGUCUCGCCAUCUACAUGCAUUGAAGAGAGCCAGAGGUUCUGGAGGUCGCUUCUUGAAUACAAAAAAGCAUGAAGAGUGUAAACCCACUUCACAAAACCAUGACAUAGAUGUUUCGAGGUGUACUCAUUUGAAUCUGAGGGGAAACAUGUCAGAAUCUAAGGCUCGUCAGUUGAACUACAGAGAUGGUGCUUCCACAGCCACCUGUUCAGAUAUUUCUAGUGCAUCUAAUAGUGGUGAUCUCUUCCAGCAACAUCAACCUGACAUUAGAUUAUGUGGUUACCCUUCUCAUAUAGGAAGGAACAUGCAGGGUUACUCUGCUGAUAUCAUUGGUAGUGGUGGUGCAAAGUAUUGUGUUAGACAUUGUAACUCACCACCAUAAAUGUUUUUUGUCUGCAAAGAUGCAUUGGUCAUUCAAGUAGAAAAUCUGAAAGAAAAAAAGAUCUCAAUUUUAUAUAAA